GACACGUCACUAAAAUGAAAAGUAAGAAAAGCAAAAAGAAGCACGCGUUUACAGUUUUUUCUAUCUCUCCAACCUCUCUCUUAUGAGCUGUUGUUGAGGUGAGAGGAGAGGACUAAAAGGAUAACACCGGCC
ensembl:ncRNA C16E9.7 ncRNA